AAUAAUAAUUGACAAAGAACAGGAAUCAGCUGCAACUGUCAUCUCUAGUGAAAGACCUUCUGUUAAAGUUUUUGUUGAACAAUUGAAAUUACAUUUAUGUAAAAAAUCCAUCGAUAAAUUUAAGACAGCUUGUGGUGAGUAUAACAAAACAAAGAAUAUCGACAAUUUUUUAGAAGUUUUGAAAGGAAUUUUUCGUACUCCUUUUACUUACAACCUUUUUGAAAGU